ensembl:lncRNA
CCUCCAUAUGACCCCUAACCUCCAUAUGACCCCUAACCCCCAUAUGACCGCUAACCUCCAUAUGACCCCUAACCUCCAUAUGACCCCUAACCUCCAUAUGACCCCUAACCUCCAUAUGACCCCUAACCUCCAUAUGACCCUGUUAUCAAUGUUAGUAGUGAUGAUUAAUCUAAAGCUGACCAGGUUUCAAGAGAAAAACUUCUGCCAACAAACUCUGGGCUUUGGCUGAGUUCAGUUCUGUUCAGUCCAGUGUGGCUUCAGUACAGCUGCCCUGUGUAGGGGGGAGGGGGACAGAGGUGUCUAGUCCCUAUGGUGGAGGGAGGAUGGAGGGCAGAGGGGACAGAGGUGUGUCUAGUCCCUACGGUGGAGGGAGGAUGGAGGGCAGAGGGGACAGAGGUGUGUCUAGUCCCUACGGUGGAGGGAGGAUGGAGGGCAGAGGGGACAGAGGUGUGUCUAGUCCCUGGAGGGGAGGAUGGAGGGCAGAGGGGACAGAGGUGUGUCUAGUCCCUACAGUGGAGGGAGGGGGAUGGAGGGCAGAGGGAACAGAGGUGUGUCUAGUCCCUACGGUGGAGGGAGGAUGGAGGGCAGAGGGGACAGAGGUGUGUCUAGUCCCUACAGUGGAGGGAGGAUGGAGGGCAGAGGGGACAGAGGUGUGUCUAGUCCCUACGGUGGAGGGAGGAUGGAGGGCAGAGGGGACAGAGGUGUGUCUAGUCCCUACAGUGGAGGGAGGAUGGAGGGCAGAGGGGACAGAGGUGUGUCUAGUCCCUACGGUGGAGGGAGGAUGGAGGGCAGAGGGGACAGAGGGGUGUCUAGUCCCUACGGUGGAGGGAGGAUGGAGGGCAGAGGGAACAGAGGUGUGUCUAGUCCCUACGGUGGAGGGAGGAUGGAGGGCAGAGGGAACAGAGGUGUGUCUAGUCCCUACGGUGGAGGGAGGAUGGGAUGGAGGGCAGAGGGGACAGAGGUGUGUCUAGUCCCUACGGUGGAGGGAGGAUGGAGGGCAGAGGGGACAGAGGUGUGUCUAGUCCCUACGGUGGAGGGAGGAUGGAGGGCAGAGGGAACAGAGGUGUGUCUAGUCCCUACAGUGGAGGGAGGAUGGAGGGCAGAGGGGACAGAGGUGUGUCUAGUCCCUACGGUGGAGGGAGGAUGGAGGGCAGAGGGAACAGAGGAGUGUCUAGUCCCUACAGUGGAAGGAGGAUGGGAUGGAGGGCAGAAGCCGGGAAGUGGUUCCUCCCCGUCAGGCUUUCCCUUCCCAGGCGUCGUCUCUCUGUUUAGCUGCCAGACGCUUCUGCUCUGAAAGACAGACAGACAGGUUGAUAAGAGAGUAAAUCAAUACUACUACUAGCUGUCAAUACAAUCAUAAAGACAAAGACUAGU